rnacentral:rRNA from 1 species
AUGCUGAAAAGUUUGCCAAAGCUGAGUCGCCAGGAACUUGAAGUAGCAUGUGAGGAUUUUAGCAACAUUAUUGGCUCAACUCCGGAGACAGUAGUCUACAAAGGAACAAUGAAGGAUGGACCUGAGGUUUCUGUCAUAUCAUUAUGCGCCUUUGAAGGUCAUUGGACUAGUCAGCAUGAACUCUUUUACCAAAACAAGGUUAUUGAUCUGGCACGGUUGAAUCAUGAGAACAUAGCAAAGUUUCUGGGCUAUUGCAGAGAGAGUGAGCCAUUCUCGAGGAUGUUAGUCUUUGAGUACGCAUCAAAUGGGACCCUGUACGAGCACCUACACUAUGGGGAAGCAGCCCAAUUCUCUUGGCUCAGACGGAUGAAAAUAGCCAUCGGCAUUGCCCAAGGUUUAAGGUAUCUGCACACCGAGUCGCAGCCUCCUUUCGCUAUAUCAGAGCUGAACUCCAAUUCAGUUUACGUUACAGAAGAUUUUACCCCCAAGCUGGUCGACUUUGAGUGCUGGAAAAUGCUGUUUUCGAGACACGAGAAGGCGCUCGGCCACUUCAACAGCAAAGCCUCUUUCCCUAGCCGGGACUCUUCGGAGGAUAAGUACAUGGACAUCCAAGGCAACACGUUUGCCUUUGGAGUGAUCUUGCUCGAGAUCAUCAGUGGGCGGCUUCCCUACUGCAAGGACAAAGGCUACUUGGUAGACUGGGCCAUCAAGUACCUCCAGCAGCCGGAGGAGAUCGGGAAGCUGGUCGACCCCGAGCUGACGAACGUGCGGACCGAGGACCUGGCGGUGAUCUGCAGCGUGGUGAGCCAGUGCGUCGACCCUGACCCGUCCAAGCGGCCGUCGAUGCAGAUCAUCGCGGGGGCGCUGGAGACCGGCAUCAACCUCUCGGCGGCCGGCAUCCUCAAGGAGUCCUCCCUGGCGUGGGAGGAGCUCGCCCUGUCGUUGUAG